UACGUAGGGGGCAAGCGUUGUCCGGAAUCAUUGGGCGUAAAGAGCGUGUAGGCGGCCACGCAGGUCCGUUGUGAAAACUGGAGGCUCAACCUCCAGACGUCGACGGAAACCGUGUGGCUAGAGUCCGGAAGAGGAGAGUGGAAUUCCUGGUGUAGCGGUGAAAUGCGCAGAUAUCAGGAAGAACACCAAUGGCGAAGGCAGCUCUCUGGGACGGUACUGACGCUGAGACGCGAAAGCGUGGGG
rnacentral:rRNA from 1 species